GACGAACGCUGGCGGCGUGCUUAACACAUGCAAGUCGAACGAAGAGCGAUGGAAGCUUGCUUCUAUCAAUCUUAGUGGCGCACGGGUGAGUAACGCGUAAUCAACCUGCCCUUCAGAGGGGGACAACAGUUGGAAACGACUGCUAAUACCGCAUACGAUCUAAUCUCGGCAUCGAGGAUAGAUGAAAGGUGGCCUCUACAUGUAAGCUAUCACUGAAGGAGGGGAUUGCGUCUGAUUAGCUAGUUGGAGGGGUAACGGCCCACCAAGGCGAUGAUCAGUAGCCGGUCUGAGAGGAUGAACGGCCACAUUGGGACUGAGACACGGCCCAGACUCCUACGGGAGGCAGCAGUGGGGAAUCUUCCGCAAUGGACGAAAGUCUGACGGAGCAACGCCGCGUGAGUGAUGACGGCCUUCGGGUUGUAAAGCUCUGUUAAUCGGGACGAAAGGCCUUCUUGCGAAUAGUGAGAAGGAUUGACGGUACCGGAAGAGAAAGCCACGGCUAACUACGUG
rnacentral:rRNA from 1 species